rnacentral:rRNA from 1 species
UGGGGAAUCUUGCACAAUGGACGAAAGUCUGAUGCAGCGACGCCGCGUGAGCGAUGAAGCCCUUCGGGGUGUAAAGCUCUUUCGGCAGGGACGAUAAUGACGGUACCUGAAGAAGAAGCUGCGGCUAACUACGUGCCAGCAGCCGCGGUAAUACGUAGGCAGCGAGCGUUGUUCGGAAUUACUGGGCGUAAAGAGUGUGUAGGCGGUGCUCUAAGUUUGGUGUGAAAUCUCCCGGCUCAACUGGGAGGGUGCGCCGAAGACUGGAGUGCUCGAGCGUGGGAGAGGAAAGCGGAAUUCCUGGUGUAGCGGUGAAAUGCGUAGAUAUCAGGAGGAACACCUGUGGUGUAGACGGCUUUCUGGACCAUUGCUGACGCUGAGACACGAAAGCGUGGGUAGCAAACAGGAUUAGAUACCCGCGUAGUCC